rnacentral:pre_miRNA from 1 species
AGUGGAAUUGCUGGGUCAUAUGGUAACUCCUUUUGAGGAACUACAAGGCUGUUUUCCAAAGUGGCUGUGCCAUUUUACAUUCCCACCAGCAAU